CGGACGUGCAGGAUCUUACUGAAGACGCGAUGAAGAUCGCAGUCACAGCUCCACGGGUUUUCUGGUGAAACAACAAGGAGGGUAAAUGUAGAGAUGUAUGAAGAAAGAGUGGUGAUUGAAGGGAUACCACAAAGUAAAAGGUUGUCCGUUCGACUUUCCCAUUCUCUGGAAUGUGAUAUCUCAGUAACACCUUGAGGGAACUUCUUCAACUUUGGUCAAAGGUCAACUUCACUGUGAUCAUCAUGUCUGCCAUUAUUCAAUGCUGUAACUCAGGAAGGAGAGAUUGUGCCCAUAUUUCCUGCAACUUGACCGGUUGGCGGAGGGAUACAACCACAAGGAGCACUCGCAGGGACCACAGUCUGCUGAAGGCUCUGGUACCAAUCUCAGUCAGAUUGUUUCCCCCCAGCUCCAGCAGCCACAUGCCAUGUGGGAGGCCCCUGGGAACGUGCUGGAACCCACGGGCGCGACAGUCCACCAGGUCAGCGUGCUCAUAACAAACGCACUGGUGCGGACACGAGUGUGAGCACUCGACCGAUGGAAAAAGCAACGGGGGUGAAUAAAAGGCGCCGUUUAGACCUUUACACGCAUCUCAGGUGAUCCACUCACAAGUGGUCAACUCUGAGUAUGGAUGUGAUCACACCCAGGAGGCAGUGAGGACGCAUUGCUCAGACCACAUUCUGGGGUGGAUCGUGAUUUCAGUUAAAAUAAGUACUUCCUCAACAUUAAAUGAUCUUUGUUGCCAUGGUUACAAUAUAAACUGUUGGUUUCAAAUGGGAAUCGAACACCAUUCUCCUGUGUCAUAUGCCUGUUUUGUUGACCCACCCAUCCACCGCAGACUUUGUCACUCUUUGUACUACGUUACAACAAAACGUAACUAUGGGUCAUAAUAACCUGCUGCACAAACGACCUAUGGGCUCGUUUUUUACAGGACUGUCUCCCUUUCAUGUAGUAGAAACAUACAUACUAUCCACAAUCAAAUGCCAGCAUUAAAAGCACUGUCACCAAAUUUUCAUCAUUACGUAACUGACUUAUUUUAAAUUGUUCCUAUAAUUGUGACACUUGUUUUUAACACGGGUUUUUCAUUUGCUGUAGCCUCCUUUUCCCAGCCAAAUGUAGUUACAUAAUCACAGCCAUUAAAGACAGAGCAGCAGUAAUGGAUUAAAUUCAGCAAACAUCUCUGAUGACACUUCUUUCUCAUAUUUGUACACAGUAGAAAAUCAAUAAUAGUUUUCAGCAUUUACUUCUUAUUUACUGUAAUGCAGCAACAGAAUAAGUUGUUUGCUUUUUCCUACUAACUCAUGUUCAAUAUCAGUGCUAACUGAUACUUUUUAUAAUAUCUUGUCAUUAAACAGAGUACAGUAAUUGUGUUGGCAAUAAACUUUCAUAUCUCAAACUCUCAUGUAACUGGAGAAAAAUAAACUAUUAGGUGUACAUUUCUAAGAUAAAAUCUGACAACAACACACAGUGACAGUGACAAAUCACAUUAAGAUGAAGAGUAAAAUCAAUAUUCAAAUGACACAAAAACCAUUUGGUCUGAUUAUUUCUUCACUCACCUCUCCUGCUUAUGAGGCAUACAGACAUCUCCAUCCUGGAUCACCAACUCCUUCAUGUCCUCUGACUUCGCUGCACAACAGCUCUGCAAAGCUGAGAUGAUGGACGCAGAUAGAGAAACAAAGACAGUGAUGAUGCUGAUGCUGAUGGAGACUCUUAGUGCAGCCAGCUAUGUCACUAAUCCUCUAAUCCUUUCCAAUCACCAAAUGUUUCCUCUCAUCCACUAAACUGUGGCAGUUCGUCUGAUGUUUUCACCAUGUUUUGGUUUCUGUGCCCCCCUCUCAUUUCCUGUUAAUAUCACC